rnacentral:lncRNA from 1 species
AGUAAGAUUUGAUUCUAAGCAUAGUAGAACUGCUGAAGUUUAUUACAUGCUUUUGACAAUUACAGUAACAAUUUUAGCAUUGGUUCAGUUCAUACAAGGAGAACAUAAAGAACAUUUCAUGAGGUAAAAAAUCAGUUUUUGGGUGGGGGGAAAAAUAAGCCCAACAUUACAGGCGUGAGCCAGCGCACCCAGCCCUCUGAAACUUUAUUAUUUCUUUUCUCCCACUAAUUUGUGGUUUAGUUUGCUUUUGCUUUGCUAAUUCC